GAUUCUUUCCUGCCUGAGGUCUUUCAAAGAGCAAUACUACAAAGAGGGCGAGAGUGCAGCACAAGCCCAGCAGUGAAGUAGCUGGACAUUUUCUGGACAACAGCACCCACAAAACCUUAUUCAGCUACUUUCAAGUUUAUAGUGAUUGCGAGGUAAAGAAGACAACAGGAGAGAUGGAAAAACAGCGGUCUUACCACUGCAGCUCUGUGCAUUAAUUGCUGCAGGAGGAUAUGCAAAGGGAGCAAGGACAGAUAUUCUGGUGCCUAGGAUGAUUACAGUACUGAAGAGGUAGCUCUGAAGAGGAGUUCUGUAAACUUCAAGGUGUAUGCGUGAACUCUGUACAGCUAGAGCUACCUGCUGCACGUGGGAGUAAAGCCACUUCAACACACCAGAUUGA
rnacentral:lncRNA from 1 species